rnacentral:rRNA from 1 species
UACAGAGGUCUCAAGCGUUGUUCGGAUUCAUUGGGCAUAAAGGGUGCGUAGGCGGCGCGGUAAGUCGGGUGUGAAAUCUUGGAGCUUAACUCCGAAACUGCAUUCGAUACUGCCGUGCUUGAGGACUGGAGAGGAGACUGGAAUUUACGGUGUAGCGGUGAAAUGCGUAGAUAUCGUAAGGAAGACCAGUGGCGAAGGCGGGUCUCUGGACAGUUCCUGACGCUGAAGCACGAAGGCCAGGGGAGCAAACGGG